CUUCGGAGUUAGUGGCGCACGGGUGCGGAACACGUGGGAACAUACCCUUUGGUGAGGAAUAAUGUCUGGAAACGGACACUAAUACCUCAUAAUGACUUCGGUCCAAAGAUUUAUCGCCAAAGGAUUGGCCCGCGUCUGAUUAGAUAGUUGGUGAGGUAAUGGCUCACCAAGUCUACGAUCAGUAGGGGGUCUGAGAGGAUGAUCCCCCACACUGGGACUGAGACACGGCCCAGACUCC
rnacentral:rRNA from 1 species